rnacentral:rRNA from 1 species
GACGAACGCUGGCGGCGUGCUUAACACAUGCAAGUCGAACGCUGAAGCCUAGCUUGCUGGGUGGAUGAGUGGCGAACGGGUGAGUAACACGUGAGUAACCUGCCCUCUUCUUUGGGAUAACGCCCGGAAACGGGUGCUAAUACUGGAUAUUCACUGAUCUUCGCAUGGGGGUUGGUGGAAAGGUUUUUUCUGGUGGGGGAUGGGCUCGCGGCCUAUCAGCUUGUUGGUGGGGUGAUGGCCUACCAAGGCUUUGACGGGUAGCCGGCCUGAGAGGGUGACCGGUCACAUUGGGACUGAGAUACGGCCCAGACUCCUGCGGGAGGCAGCAGUGGGGAAUAUUGCACAAUGGGCGAAAGCCUGAUGCAGCGACGCCGCGUGAGGGAUGGAGGCCUUCGGGUUGUAAACCUCUUUCGCUCAUGGUCAAGCCGCAGCUUUGGGUUGUGGUGAGGGUAGUGGGUAAAGAAGCGCCGGCUAACUACGUGCCAGCAGCCGCGGUAAUACGUAGGGCGCGAGCGUUGUCCGGAAUUAUUGGGCGUAAAGGGCUUGUAGGCGGUUGGUCGCGUCUGCCGUGAAAUCCUCUGGCUUAACUGGGGGCGUGCGGUGGGUACGGGCUGACUUGAGUGCGGUAGGGGAGACUGGAACUCCUGGUGUAGCGGUGGAAUGCGCAGAUAUCAGGAAGAACACCGGUGGCGAAGGCAGGUCUCUGGGCCGUUACUGACGCUGAGGAGCGAAAGCGUGGGGAGCGAACAGG